CCUACGGGUGGCAGCAGUGAGGAAUAUUGGUCAAUGGCCGAAAGGCUGAACCAGCCAAGCAGCGUGAAGGAAGACUGCUCUAUGGGUUGUAAACUUCUUUUAUAUGGGAAUAAAACGUUCCACGUGUGGGACUUUGUAUGUACCAUACGAAUAAGGAUCGGCUAACUCCGUGCCAGCAGCCGCGGUAAUACGGAGGAUCCGAGCGUUAUCCGGAUUUAUUGGGUUUAAAGGGUGCGUAGGUGGUUGGUUAAGUCAGUGGUGAAAUUUUGGGGCUCAACCGUAAAAUUGCUGUUGAUACUGGCAGUCUGGAGUACAGUAGAGGUAGGCGGAAUUCGUGGUGUAGCGGUGAAAUGCUUAGAUAUCACGAAGAACUCCGAUUGCGAAGGCAGUUCACUGGACUGCAACUGACGUUGAGGCUCGAAAGUGUGGGUAGCAAACAGGAUUAGAUACCCUUGUAGUC
rnacentral:rRNA from 1 species